rnacentral:piRNA from 1 species
UAAGAAGGGCUGAUUUCUUGUCUUGUGAGU